AUUUUUUUUCCUUUUUCUCCCCAAAGCCCCCCGGUACAUAGUUGUAUAUUCUUCGUUGUGGGUCCUUCUAGUUGUGGCAUGCGGGACGCUGCCUCAGCGUGGUUUGAUGAGCAGUGCCAUGUCCGCGCCCAGGAUUCGAACUAACGAAACACUGGGUUGCCUGCAGCAGAGCGCGCGAACUUAACCACUCGGCCACGGGGCCAGCCCCCCACUGAAUGCCUUUUUGAAGAGCCCAGUGUUGUAUAUUUGGAGAAAUGAGUUGAUCACAUCAUAAUAUCGUGGGAAGUCCUGCAUUUUGGCUUCAGCAGAGACAUGACUGAUAGGAUAAGUUAAGAAGAAACCAAAUUCAACCAUUCAAAGGAGAAGCACUGGGAAUAAUGAACCCUUUACUAAACAGGUUUUGCAUAUGUUAAGGAGAUGCCAUCACCAACCACCCUGGACCAGACCAAGCCUCACCAUGAGAGCUACACCUAUGACCUUUGCCUUAUUUUUAAUAAUAAGAUCUCUCCAGGAGGACCUUAGGCCUUAUUACCAUCGCCUGCAGUGUACAGGGAAGCACUUUUCCAGCUGAGCCUGCGCAAUGGAAUACCUACCUCUCCCUUUUGAAUAUUCAUUCCCCAUCCCAAAUAAAUGUCCCUGCUUCCCUUUGCUCAGGGAAGCCAUGACUUUGGAAGUGAUUCCACAUGGUCUCCUAUUUGCCCCAAACUUACCUUACUUUGUGAAACAACUACCUCUGGUGGAGAGCCGGAAUUAACUUGCCCGGAGGUGAACCCACUCGUUCGGUAACAUAAGCUCUGGAAAUCCAUUUGAACUCACCCAAAAUAAAAGAACAGACCUCAGAAUGUUACUAUGACGCUCAGGGGAGAAAAAAAAGCUUUUAAAUCAUGCAAUGAAAAACUGAAAUAUUUUAUUUUUUCCAAAAUUUACCUUUUUCUCCCUCUUUGGAGCUAUUUUAUAUUGUUUUUCAAGCUGUAUUGAUUAAGUAAAUUUUUAUUCAUUGGAAAACUGAGACGAAAUUUAAGUGACCAUAUAUUUUCAUUUGACAAACCCCAGGGAGGGGCAGUGCUCACAGGACAGAUCGCCCGGAAGUUUCUCAAGAGGAACCUGCAGCAAAGGACUGCCAGCUGCGCGUCCGCGCCCAGGACGCAGCCUGGAGGAGAGGCGGGAGGAGCUCGCACCACGCGCCUCCAGGGGGAUGCGCUACUUUCUCUCAAGAAAAACAUCCACGAACGAGGAAUAAACCCUCUUAAAAGAGCCGCCCACUGACUACGGAAAAGUGUUAAACAACUAAAAUAUCAGGUCUGUUUGUGGUUGAUAACGAUGCUGGGAAUCGGAGACGGGAAGUUGGCGUUCGGGAACGUGAGGAGGGAUCUGGAAAUUGAGGGAUUUAUUGUCGGUCCUGGAAGAGCUGGGGGGACAGGGUCGUGGAUUGGAGACCCUGCUCCCCAAACCUUUAGGAAACUCAGGAGAAAACGGGUCCCCUCCGAGGAGAAAGGAGGCCCUGGGGACCCACAGAC
rnacentral:lncRNA from 1 species